CGGCAUCAUUAGAGAAGCAUACGCGUUUGUCUUUCUCAGGCGGUGCCUUUGGAGAUGUAAAUAUAGAAAGACGUGUCGAAGCUGAAGGUGUGAUAAAUCUGUCAUAGCUGCUGAUGGCAUCUUCCGGGAUCUGGUGAGACUGGAGAAUACCCCGCUCUUUUACAUCACAUGUGUCUUUUAUCCGGCUCCUUUAUCCGGGAGUCUGUCACGGCAGAUCCCUUCUUCCCGUUUCCUUUGCAAAGGCAGCUGUGAAGCCUGAAGUCCCAGCCAGUUCACAACACGCCCGUCAGUCCGAAUCACUCCUGCUCGAUUUCUACCUCGCUCUGCUGGAUGGGAAAGGCUUCCCAUGAAAAAUUGUACCCUGCAGGACCACCAGUGAUGUAUAAACCAGAAGACACUGGGGUAGACAAAAGAGAAAUCGCAUUGAAGACAGUUCUCCAUCUUAAAUGCAGUUUCCUAUUAGUUUACUCCAAACAACUGUGGGAGUCUGAAACAAACCUAUGUUGUUCAAGCUGAUACCCCGAUUUUCUUCAGGAAAGCUGGAGGAGAUCUGCAGCUCAGUUGUCGCAUGUUAACCUAACAGGCUAGAUGGGUGGAAUGGCCUCCUCUUGUUCGGAUCCUUUUCUGCGUUCUAAUGUUGUGAUUUGGUCUGGACAGUAUAUAAAUGGAGGCAAUAAUGAGGGCUGGUCAUCUGGGCUCUGUGGCAAACUGUGGUGGAAAAUUCAGCUGCAGUGCUGGGCAGUGGUGCUUGUUUUUCCUUUCUCAAUCUGCUGACAUAACAAAUCCCUGACUCCCUAGAAAGGCAUAAUCAUCUUGACAAUUACAAAGGAACGCCUACACGUCCUCAGCAGAGCAGGCCGUCCAUGAGUAGCAGUGUGGAUUGCAUGAGAGUGGCAGGGACUGUUUGACUGGGCAGGCGGACCGCUUCCAGUAUAAGAACAACAUUCACUGAAAUGGCCCUUUUUUGGUUAAAGGCUGGUGUUUGUAUUAUUUUAAGAGGGAAUUUAAGAGGAUGAUUUGGAGACAGGGAAUACAAACAACACACAUUUGUAAGAGACAGAAUUUCUGUAAGGACACGCAAAGACGGUCGUCAAAGUGUGGGGCUCAGAGGCCAGUCUGAGUGCGUAGAAAUGUCCUCUGAGGGUGCUGUGCGGACUAGAACUGUCAGGAUACUGGGUAUUACUGGAGAAUGCUGCCAAUCGAUGUUUCUUUCCCCCCGGGCGGGAAGUAAAAGGGAAGAACAAAAAGGGAUGUGAAAGCCCCAGUCCUAAAGCUUUAUUGUCAACAACGCAAUCAUUCAUCUCAAAACACACAGAAGAAUUUAACUGAUCAGAGUAUCAGCUAAAUUAAGACAUUUAGAGAUCAUUUAAUCAUCCCUCAAGGACCAGAGUUGUCUUAAACAAAUUACGUGCCUAUUUGAUUGAUAUCUUACAAGUGCUUCCAGCCGUUAGCCGCUGGUGAUUUAGAGUGACUUAGGAAACCUCAUAAUGACUGGCUAUCGUGGUGAAACCCUGAAGCUGGGUUUCGAAAGUGAAGUCAGUCAACAAUGUAUCUUGAUUGGUUUUCUUUUUUGUUUUUACAAAUUAAUAUUCAGCCAGAGCCAGACAGCUACCUGAAGCCAGUCCCAGGCGUUGAGAAAUGGUAUCCGGUCCAGUAGAGUGCUCUCGAUGGCUCGCAGGGGGUGGGGCAGGAGACCUUUAGCCCGAUGUGUGCAGUGACGGACUCAGUCUGGGGAAAUGUCAAUGGCUGUAGCUGGCACAGGGGCCGAGGUUCAGUCUGAGUUUGUGCUGCACGUAAAAAUAUCCCAGUUUGAUAUUCUCCAUGUCAAUAUAUCAUUCGCAUUUAAACCAUAGAUUUAACCACAGGUCCAUAUCAAGAAUGUCAUGAGCCUAGAAGAGCCUUCUUGAACACAUCAUCAGCUAAUAAAGCAGCAAUGCACCCGAAACUCCUUUCUUCACUACAGCUACAGCGCCUUGCGAAAGUAUUCACUCCCUUCCAGUGAUGUUCCAUUUCCUUCCCAGCAUACACUAGAUUUUUUAAAAAAAUUAUUUGAUCCUUUUGCUGACAUUUAACUUCUUUCUCCCAUGAAAGUGCUCAAAGCUUUAGCAGUCGAGUCUGGAUUGAAAGCAUUUGCCUUAAAAUACAAGUGUCUGCGUCACCGGUCAUUCAACGAGGUGGGACAUCACUGGAAGGGGGGUGAAUACUUUUGCAAGCUGUUGUAAAUGUUUCCCCACUGUUGCCAGUCAUUCAGACAUCCAAACUGCCUUUAGCCUCACCCCUUCAGCCUGGAGCUUUGGAGGAAUCCUGUGUCCUACAUCACUCGUGAUCUUGGAGCCUUCUGGACCUCUCCCAUAACCAACACCAGAAUGGACUUGGUUGGAUACAAAGCCUAACUUCAUUUCCAGAGGGAUAGCGGGGACAAAGACACCAGGGUCCCCUUUCUGUUAAGUACAAGAUUUGCACAAAACUUUUUUCAGAUGUUUUUAAUGCAUUUAUAACUUCAGCUAUAAAAAAAUAAACGAUCAGAAGUAAUUAAACACAUUUGUGUAGCACAUGUCCACAGUAAACUAAUGUACUCCAAAUGUGUCUUGGCUGUCAACCUGAAUAAAUUUAUUUAAAUUAUUUUAUAUCCAAAACGCACAAUAUGUUAAAUGCAGUGAAGGAAACCACUUAAGCAAAGGAUAAUUGAGCUCUUCUGUGAAAUAAAAUCUGUAACAAAUUUCCAUUUAGACCACAUACAUUUGCAAAGAUAUGGCCAACAAACCUGGAGGUUGGGGUAUUUAUUUUAAUGUGUAACCAUUUUCCUUAUAAAAAGGUUUCUGGAAUUUUGAGGCCACAGUCUAGGAUGUUGUGUGUGUGUGUGUGUCACCUUAAAUGAACAACAACUUAAAACUUGCAGGAAAGGGAACAGGGAGGGUCAUGUGGAGACCUGAUUCGAUUAUUCAAAAUGCAGAAUUCCACUGUCUGAGUUAUCUUUGUUGGACUUCUUCACAAUCAGCAACAGCACAUAUAAGAGCAUUCAGGCUAGAAAACGGGGGGCUAUCCUUCACACAGAAGUUUGUUGGGGUCUGGAACGAUCUCCCUAAUCAUGAUAUUCUGAUUCUGGCUCUGUGGGUUAGUUUUGGGACUCCUGGAUCACUACAGAAGGAAUGAACUAAACAUUUUCACUAAAAGUUUGUAUUAUAUCUUGUUAACUAUGGGUAUCUUUUUACUUAUAUUUUACUAAAUCCAUCCCAGGAUGUCUGAUCUCAAAUGAUAACAUAGCCACAUGGUGUCUUUAUGCAUAGCUGGCAUAGUUCUCAGGGAAAUGACCAGUGACCUCUCCUGGAACAAAUGGUCUAUUCAGCAGAAGGGGCUGCUUGUCACGCAAGCCAACAGUAAAGAAAAUAUAUGUACUGGUCAGCUUUCUAAAAUGAUCAUAUAUAGGCACAAUUCAAACAGAGAGUCAUGUGGGAGUGUAUCUUGUAUUAUUUGUUUCACUGUAUAAAAGAGCACUGUAAGCGUUGUCUUUUAAGUCUUGUGUCCAAAAGCAAGACUUCCAUAUGCAUAUGAAAUAAAGACGACUUUCAACACACAAACUCUCAGCUGAUGCUCUUUGUUUGGCACGACACUAUGUACUAUAUUACCAGGAACCAAACAAGCAAAAUGAGCUGAACAGCUUCCUGUUACCUGUAAGUUCUCUUUUGUCUUAAUGUUCCAGUUUAACUCUCUACCCCACAAGUUAGUGAUUGAUUAUUUGAACAGAUAGGAAGCCUGCCAGAUGACUCUAAAGACCCGAGCUGUCUAGAGUAAUGAAAUCGCAGUUUUCUAACUCUAACUCAUUGCGAAAGAUCCCUGGGUGAGGUAGUGUGGUGAUGUGGACCCCUGAACUUGAAAGCUCGUUCAGUCAAUGCUCGAAAUGAAUUUCCGGGUAAUUUCUGACUUUAUGUCUGAAGUAACCUUUUGUCUGU